UCCACCGCGGCAUUAUAGGCCUAGUUUUGAAGAAGCCUUCAGCCCCUUACCUACCUCUUCAUUUGGCCUUUUGACUACACUUCUUGCUCUAGACCAACCUCUCGUGGCAAUGCUGCUUCUGCUCUCCAUAGUGAAUUCUUUACUUCAAGCCCAUUGGCCUGCAAUCUUCCAGCUCUACCAAUUCCCAGGAAAAAGAAGAAUCAAUCUAAAACCCGUGAUCAGAUGUAUGAUUUUAGUUUAUAAUGUGAAAUUAUUUUCCUCAAUGAUGUGAUGAAUAACUCUAUGUAACGAUCAUGAUGUCUCCUACCAAAACCUUUAGCAGCUUA